ACCAGACAUAAGGCACUCUAGGUGCAACCUUAGUGGGCGUUUGGACAUAAGAAUUAUAAAAUAGCAAAAUAGGGUGAAAUUGUUUGUCAAGUGAAUGGUAUUUGAAAUUUAGAGUUGUAUUUGGACUAAGGCUGUAAUUUUCGCGGUUCCGAACCGGAAUCGCGGCCCUGCCGGUUCCAGCCGCCCGGUUCCGGCGGUUCCGGUUCUAGGGAACCGUGGCGGGGCGGUUCUACCCGUUGGAACCGCCAAAACCGGACCCGCCAGAACCGGAACCGGCUCGCAGUUCUGGACCGGUUCUGGCGGUUCCAAACGGUUCUGCC
rnacentral:lncRNA from 1 species